rnacentral:rRNA from 1 species
ACGAACGCUGGCGGCAGGCUUAACACAUGCAAGUCGAGCGCGUAGCAAUACGAGCGGCAGACGGGUGAGUAACGCGUGGGAAUCUACCGUGCCCUAAGGAAUAGCUCCGGGAAACUGGAAUUAAUACCUUAUACGCCCUUCGGGGGAAAGAUUUAUCGGGGUAUGAUGAGCCCGCGUUGGAUUAGCUAGUUGGUGGGGUAAAGGCCUACCAAGGCGACGAUCCAUAGCUGGUCUGAGAGGAUGAUCAGCCACAUUGGGACUGAGACACGGCCCAAACUCCUACGGGAGGCAGCAGUGGGGAAUAUUGGACAAUGGGCGCAAGCCUGAUCCAGCCAUGCCGCGUGAGUGAUGAAGGCCCUAGGGUUGUAAAGCUCUUUCACCGGUGAAGAUAAUGACGGUAACCGGAGAAGAAGCCCCGGCUGACUUCGU